rnacentral:tRNA from 1 species
GCCCGGUUAGCUCAAUCGGUAGAGCGUGAGACUCUUAUGAGUACACAACAUCUCAAGGUUGCGGGUUCGACCCCCGCAUCGGGCU